AGAGUUUGAUCCUGGCUCAGGAUGAACGCUGGCGGCGUGCUUAACACAUGCAAGUCGAGCGAAGCGAUUUAAGUGAAGUUUUCGGAUGGAUCUUAAAUUGACUGAGCGGCGGACGGGUGAGUAACGCGUGGAUAACCUGCCUCACACAGGGGGAUAACAGUUAGAAAUGACUGCUAAUACCGCAUAAGCGCACGGUACCGCAUGGUACAGUGUGAAAAACUCCGGUGGUGUGAGAUGGAUCCGCGUCUGAUUAGGUAGUUGGUGAGGUAACGGCCCACCAAGCCGACGAUCAGUAGCCGACCUGAGAGGGUGACCGGCCACAUUGGGACUGAGACACGGCCCAAACUCCUACGGGAGGCAGCAGUGGGGAAUAUUGCACAAUGGGGGAAACCCUGAUGCAGCGACGCCGCGUGGAGGAAGAAGGUCUUCGGAUUGUAAACUCCUGUUGUUGAGGAAGAUAAUGACGGUACUCAACAAGGAAGUGACGGCUAACUACGUGCCAGCAGCCGCGGUAAAACGUAGGUCACAAGCGUUGUCCGGAAUUACUGGGUGUAAAGGGAGCGCAGGCGGGAAGACAAGUUGGAAGUGAAAUCCAUGGGCUCAACCCAUGAACUGCUUUCAAAACUGUUUUUCUUGAGUAGUGCAGAGGUAGGCGGAAUUCCCGGUGUAGCGGUGGAAUGCGUAGAUAUCGGGAGGAACACCAGUGGCGAAGGCGGCCUACUGGGCACCAACUGACGCUGAGGCUCGAAAGUGUGGGUAGCAAACAGGAUUAGAUACCCUGGUAGUCCACACCGUAAACGAUGAUUACUAGGUGUUGGAGGAUUGACCCCUUCAGUGCCGCAGUUAACACAAUAAGUAAUCCACCUGGGGAGUACGACCGCAAGGUUGAAACUCAAAGGAAUUGACGGGGGCCCGCACAAGCAGUGGAGUAUGUGGUUUAAUUCGACGCAACGCGAAGAACCUUACCAAGUCUUGACAUCCUGCGACGCACAUAGAAAUAUGUGUUUCCUUCGGGACGCAGAGACAGGUGGUGCAUGGUUGUCGUCAGCUCGUGUCGUGAGAUGUUGGGUUAAGUCCCGCAACGAGCGCAACCC
rnacentral:rRNA from 1 species